GUGGGGAAUCUUGCGCAAUGGGCGAAAGCCUGACGCAGCCAUGCCGCGUGAAUGAUGAAGGUCUUAGGAUUGUAAAAUUCUUUCACCGGGGACGAUAAUGACGGUACCCGGAGAAGAAGCCCCGGCUAACUUCGUGCCAGCAGCCGCGGUAAUACGAAGGGGGCUAGCGUUGCUCGGAAUUACUGGGCGUAAAGGGCGCGUAGGCGGACAGUUUAGUCAGAGGUGAAAGCCCAGGGCUCAACCUUGGAAUUGCCUUUGAUACUGGCUGUCUUGAGUACGGGAGAGGUGAGGGGAACUCCGAGUGUAGAGGUGAAAUUCGUAGAUAUUCGGAAGAACACCAGUGGCGAAGGCGACUCACUGGCCCGUUACUGACGCUGAGGCGCGAAAGCGUGGGGAGCAAACAGGAUUAGAUACCCUUGUAGUCC
rnacentral:rRNA from 1 species